rnacentral:rRNA from 1 species
GUGGACGCCAGUCUGCGUGGAGCCAUCCUUGAAAUACCACCCUUUAAUGUUUGAUGUUCUAACUCGGCCCCGUAAUCCGGGGUGAGGACAGUGUCUGGUGGGUAGUUUGACUGGGGCGGUCUCCUCCCAAAGAGUAACGGAGGAGCACGAAGGUUAGCUAAUCACGGUCGGACAUCGUGAGGUUAGUGCAAAGGCAUAAGCUAGCUUGACUGCGAGAGUGACGGCUCGAGCAGGUACGAAAGUAGGUC